rnacentral:rRNA from 1 species
CCUACGGGUGGCUGCAGUGAGGAAUAUUGGUCAAUGGGAGAGAUCCUGAACCAGCCAAGCCGCGUGAGGGAAGAAGGCCCUAUGGGUUGUAAACCUCCUUUGUCGGAGAACAAAACCCGGGACGUGUCCCGGACUGCGUGUAUCCGAAAAACAAGCAUCGGCUAACUCCGUGCUAGCAGCCGCGGUAAUACGGAGGAGGCGAGCGUUCUCCGGAUUUCUUGGGGUUAAGGGGUGCGUAGGCGGUCCGUUAAGUCAACGGUAAAAUUGCGGGGCUCAACCCCGUCGAGCCGUUGAAACUGGCAGACUUGAGUUGGCGAGAAGUACGCGGAAUGCGCGGUGUAGCGGUGAAAUGCAUAGAUAUCGCGCAGAACUCCGAUUGCGAAGGCAGCGUACCGGCGCCAGACUGACGCUGAGGCACGAAAGCGUGGGGAUCGAACAGGAUUAGAUACCCCGGUAGUC